GGAAUUGUUCGCAAUGGGCGCAAGCCUGACGACGCAACGCCGCGUGGAGGAUGAAGGUCUUCGGCUUGUAAACUCCUGUUGACCGGGAAGAAUGGACCCCGAUUGAAUACUUCGGGGUAUUGACGGUACCGGUUUAGGACGCCACGGCUAACUCUGUGCCAGCAGCCGCGGUAAUACAGAGGUGGCAAGCGUUGUUCGGAAUUACUGGGCGCAAAGGGCGCGUAGGCGGUCGCCUAAGUCGGACGUGAAAUCCCCAAGCUUAACUUGGGAACUGCGUCCGAUACUGGGUGACUUGAGUUCGGGAGAGGAAUGUGGAAUUCCAGGUGUAGCGGUGAAAUGCGUAGAUAUCUGGAGGAACACCGGUGGCGAAGGCGGCAUUCUGGACCGAAACUGACGCUGAGGCGCGAAAGCCAGGGGAGCAAA
rnacentral:rRNA from 1 species